UACGAGGGGGGCAAGUGUUACUCAACAUAACUGGGCGUAAAGAGUGCGUAGACGGUUUUAUUAAUUUGAAGUUAAAGACAAGAGCUAAACUUUUGGAAUGCUUUAAAUAUUAUAAAACUAGAGUUUGAAAGAGGGUAGCGGUACUACUGAAGUAAAGGUGACAUUUAACAAUUUCAGAAGGACCAACAUUUGGCGAAGGCAGCUAUCUGGGGCAUAACUGACGUUGAGGCACAAAAGCAUGGGGAGCGAACAGG
rnacentral:rRNA from 2 species